AAAAGAUUCGUGAUAACUGCCACCUCUGUAAAGACUACGUUUCCAAAGAAAAACGACUCCCACUGCUUUGAAAAGAGAACAAAACAGAGAAGCUGUACCGCUGCAGGAUCUCCACCACUGCCAGUUUCAUCACCACUAGAGCAAACCUCAUCCCAAUGCAGUUCCUUGGUCCUAACCCAAAAGGCAUGUAUGUGUUUGAAUUUCUCUGGUUCUGGCCAUAUCUCAGGGUCCCGGUGCAAAGGCCAUGUGGGGACCAGGAC